UACGUAGGGUGCAAGCGUUGUCCGGAAUUAUUGGGCGUAAAGAGCUCGUAGGCGGUCUGUCGCGUCGGCUGUGAAAACCUGGGGCUCAACCCCGGGCCUGCAGCCGAUACGGGCAGACUAGAAUUCGGUAGGGGAGACCGGAAUUCCUGGUGUAGCGGUGAAAUGCGCAGAUAUCAGGAGGAACACCGGUGGCGAAGGCGGGUCUCUGGGCCGAUAUUGACGCUGAGGAGCGAAAGCGUGGGGAGCGAACAGG
rnacentral:rRNA from 1 species